UGCCGGAAGUUCGCCCGGGAGGAGUGCCUCGGUGCCACCUUCUACACGCUGUCGACCGGCUGUGGCCGUUGCGAGCUCCGCAUGGAGAGGGGCUUCGAACCGGAGACUGUGGUGGACAGCUGGGAGCCCAAGUUGAGGGAUGCAAAUGGCACAGG
rnacentral:SRP_RNA from 1 species